AUUGAACGCUGGCGGCAGGCUUAACACAUGCAAGUCGAGCGGGGUGAUGGUGCUUGCACUAUCACUUAGCGGCGGACGGGUGAGUAAUGCUUAGGAAUCUGCCUAUUAGUGGGGGACAACAUCUCGAAAGGGAUGCUAAUACCGCAUACGUCCUACGGGAGAAAGCAGGGGAUCACUUGUGACCUUGCGCUAAUAGAUGAGCCUAAGUCGGAUUAGCUAGUUGGUGGGGUAAAGGCCUAACAAGGCGUCGAUCUGUAGCGGGUCUGAGAGGAUGAUCAGACACUCAGGGACUGGAACACGGCCCAGACUCCUACGGGAGGCAGCAGUGGGGAAUAUUGGACAAUGGGCGGAAGCCUGAUACAGCCAUGCCGCGUGUGUGAAGAAGGCCUUUUGGUUGUAAAGCACUUUAAGCGAGGAGGAGGCUACUUAGACUAAUACUCUGGGAUAGUGGACGUUACUCGCAGAAUAAGCACCGGCUAACUCUGUGCCAGCCGCCGCGGUAA
rnacentral:rRNA from 1 species